UGGCUGGUUUGCUGUUGUC
rnacentral:miRNA from 1 species